rnacentral:rRNA from 1 species
GGGAUAGCCCAGGGAAACCUGGAUUAAUACCGGAUGAGACGGGACCCGCGAUGGCGGGAUCCGGGAAAGGCGCUGCGGCGCCGCCGGGGGAUCGAGUCUGCGUCCCAUUAGCGUAGACGGCGGGGUAACGGCCCACCGUGGCGACGAUGGGUAGCCGGCCUGAGAGGGUGGACGGCCACAUUGGAACUGAGACACGGUCCAGACUCCUACGGGAGGCAGCAGCUAAGAAUCUUCCGCAAUGGGCGAAAGCCUGACGGAGCGAACGCCGCGUGAACGAAGAAGGCCGUGAGGUUGUAAAGUUCUUUUCGGGAAGGGGGAACAACCGUGGCAGGGAAUGGCCGCGGGAUGACGUGAAUCCCGGAAUAAGCCCCGGCUAACUACGUGCCAGCCGCCGC